rnacentral:snRNA from 1 species
GUGCUCACAAAUUGUGCAGCACAUGUAUUAAAAUUGGAACGAUACAGAGAAGAUUAGCAUGGCCCCUGUGCAAGGAUGGCAGGCAAAUUUGUGAAGCAUUCCAUAUAUAA